AAACUGCAAGUAUUGCUACAUAUUUUUGUUACAUUCACUGUUGAUAAAUUAAGAAAUUACUAAGAAACUUAAAAGUUUUAUCUUCUUCAGGCAAAUUUACUGUGGAGAAUUUGGCUUUUUUAAGGCCGUUUGAUCAUAUGUCUAUCAAAGUUUCUACAUAAUUAUACAUCCAUGGCUUUCAAUUGUUUAUGUUUCACGUUUUCUUGAUAGAGGUAUAUCGAGAAAAUUGCUUUAUACACACUUGAUUUAUACAAAACAAUAUUUUCAUAUACAUCUACAAUUUUGCUGAUGUGCAACAAUCUUAGUAGGCAAUUUGAUGACAUAUGGAGUGUAAAAAUGUGUACGCUAAAAUAGUGCAAUGACGAAAUUAUGUUUAACUUGCUGUUGUUGAUUGUUAUCUGAUUUUUGUAAAUGUUAUCCUUGUUUGUAUAAAUAUAGUUGUUUUUAUUGGAAGUUUAAAACCACUUGCAUCAAGAAACCUAAUAUCAAGUUCAAUUUAUGAUGAUCUAUUUUCCUUAUAACAGAAACGAAAUUCAGUUUCAGAAUAUCAUGCCUUGCAGAUUUUUUUUUAAAAGGGCACAUUUAAACAGUGAUUGGUUAACAGUGUCCUGAAUGGAUAUCCAACAAACGACUAUGUGAUGUUUUUUUCUUUUUUAUUACAACUAAUGAACAUAUCCUCAGCAUUUAGAUUCUGAUAAAUGAAAAAGAUCUGACAACUAGGGCAGUAUUGCUGAUUUAUAUAGAUUGACCUGUUUUUAAUUAAGUUGGCUUUGCAUAUUUUCUAAUGUCAGUUAAGAUACCAAUCUGAUUUUAAAAUAAUUAAGUGAUUUAAGAAGUCUAGUCAUUUAUUAGAAUACUUUGAAGAUUUAUUUUAUUGAACUGUAUAUUGUACAUUAUGUGUUGAUAUCAAUUCAACUUAAUUUCUUAAUAAGAUUAGGUUGACAUUGAUCUAAUUUGUUGAUUUAUGAAAAAUGAUAUCAAUAUAGCAACAUUUGUAAUGGUAAAUAAAAAUUACUUUAAUUUUGUUCCUUGAUGACGUAAGAAAUAUUUAUCCGUGUGUACCUCAUAAAUUGCUGUAAAGCUGAAUGCUAACAUUAGGUUUCAUUUAUAAACUCCAUGGGAUGUUUAUGAAUUGGGAUAAUUUGUAUGCCCCAUUUAUGGGAAUUAUGUUUUCUGGUCUGUGCUUGUGUCCGUCUGUUCGCCCAUCUGUCUGUCCCGCUUCAGGUUAAUCUUUUUGAUGAAGUUAAAUUCCAAUCAACUUGAAAUUUAGUAAAUAUGUUCCCUAUGAUAUGAUCUUUCUAAUUUUAAUGCCAAAUUAGAGAUUUUACCCCAUUUUCACGGUCCAUUGAACAUAGAAAAUGAUAGUGCGGAUUGGACAUCUGUGUACUUGGGACACAUUCUUGUUGUUUUGAGGUUUUAAUCUAACACAAAAGUAAACCCAUCUGAUUAGGAGCAUUAAAUACUGGGUAACCAUUGACUUAUAUUUUACCCAAGAGUGACCUCCAGUUAAUAUUCAUUUGGUUUCAUUACAUACAAAAUAUGUAACAAAAUGGGACAUGGUUUUAUUACAGGUAACAGCAGUUUACCUAGGUUCAAAUUUCAUAAAUCUUUAUGGUGCUAAAAUUCAAGGUAUAAACAAAACUUAAGGAAACACAUGAACUCAAAAAGGAAUGAAACUAGGUGCUGAACAAUCAUGACUUUAUGAUUGCAUGUACAAUACCUCAAAUUAUAGUUUGAAAUCAAGCUUUCAUGACAUUUUAUUUAAUAGUUAACUACAUUAUAAUUGCCAAUGAUAUACAUUUAUUGAAUGUGUUCACCUUUCCCAGAAACCAUUGCCAACUGGAUUUAUUAUCUACCUAUUUUAUGUACAUUUUUGUACUAGUAAAUGAAAACUGCCAUUUAAUGUUAUAUUUAUGGAUUUUAUUGUUAGUUUUAUCAAUGAAUAUUUACAUUGUCAUGUGACAUGUUUGUAUUACACAUUGUAAUGUAUACAUCAGUUACAACACCUCCUGUUGCCUGACUCUCUCAUUUGAAUUACAAAGUUAUAUUUUGUACAAUUUCAUGUCACAUCACUUUUUGUCACAAUCAGGAGUUCAUUAAGAAAUUUACAAAAAGUUCCAUUUUUCUGUUUACAUUUUAGCUGCACAUGUAGGAAAUUCAUGUUUUUAGAUACCAUUUCAAAAAUAUAAAACAGCAUCACAAUAUAUUGUACAAACAAAAUUGUUGAUUAUAAACUGUUGUAAUUUUGUUGAUAUUUAUUAUAUAUUUGUUUGCUUAUGUAUUUUUCUUAACUUGAUUGCACCCACCAAAUAAAAUUAAAGGUCAAAGGCCUUUUCUAUCAGGAAAAGAAAUUGAAUUAUAUUUAAUGUCCAAAAAAUAAUGACAGAAAUGCCCAAUUACCCAAACUAAUAUUUUUAUAAUCAAUUUGUUUUAACAUAUGUUUAGCUCUUUCUAGUAAAUUCAUGGCAGUUUAUAUUAUGAUAAUUUUGUCUUUUCAUAUUUUCUUGGUGUAUAUUCAAAGUUGACCUAUCCACGAUAGUUAAUAUGUUUUUAUUUUUGUAUUUGAGAAGUCAAGAAAGUAAAUCACUCAUUUCAUAUGAUCUCUUUAGUACAAUUGAUAUAUUUUAUUUACUGAACUGUAUGUGUGAAUAGUGACAAUCUCAACAUCCCCUCUUUUUGUAGAUGGGUAGAUAUAGUUAGGGGUAUUUGUUUGUCAAUACAUAAAAUUCAUUUCUUAAUUUAUUAUUUUUAGUUAUGUAGCAAAACUGUGAUAUUUAAAUGGAUUUUAAAAUUUAUCUCUGUUGAAGUCUUUUUUUUUCAAAUAUGUUUUCCAUUUAACAAUUUCUAAGCUAUUUUAUUUCAUAUUAUAUUACAUUUGAUAAUGUAUAUUAAAGCUUUCAUUUUAUUUGUUAUAUUGUAUGGUAUAUGUAUAUUUGUAGUUGCAAUUAAACAUGGCUGUUAUGAA
rnacentral:lncRNA from 1 species